rnacentral:lncRNA from 1 species
GGCCUGGUCUACGUCGAUAUGUCCUAUCCAACCCAGUGAUACGAUCAUCUACACCCAUCGGAGGAAAAGCAUCUACAGAUCCAUCUCUACGAGUUCUUUUAGGUUCUCUAUCCAACUGAGCAGGAUCAUAUCCUUCCCAAGAACCACGGUUUGACCGAAUGGGUAGCCUUCUACUUGGUGCGGGAGACGGGAGUAUUCCAGCUCCACUAGGAGAUGGCCUUUUCCAGCUUCCUUCGUUGCCAACCACAUCGCCAUAUUCUGGACCAAAACGUUCCAUGCUACCUCGGAAGGGCCUCACAGGGUCAAGAACCACACUGGAAUGUGGUGACGAUAUGUACGGAGGAUCACUGAUGAACAUCUCAGGCCUUGACCGUUUAACACCAGAAUAAAAACCGGUAUCAUCUCCCCGUCCAGGGGGAAUGUUAUCGUUUUGGUACAUGAUUGUGAUUCUUGGAUCGUUGAAUAACCUUCCCUGUAGUCCUUCCUUAGCACAGCGAGCUUCCUCAAUGCUUCUAAAUUCCACAAGUGAGAAAUGCCUUGAUGGAUAGCUAACACAUCUCUCAAUCUCACCAAAAAGAAUCAUGGAAUUGUGCAGCAGUCGUUCGUCUAUCUGAACAGAAGGAGGGUACCCAAUCCACAGAACGUUACUUGCUUGGCCAUCUCCAGAUGAGUGAGUAUACUGUUGUUAAGCAUAUAAAAAUUUGAACUCAGGAACCUGGCAAGCCGAAAGCUUUCUAAACUAUAAACAUGAAAGCCGAUAAAGGCUAACCUGGUGCUUAGCACUCAAACUGCCAUCCCUGCCAUCUUCGGAUCCAAGCCGUGGUUCCUACAGAGAUAAGAAUGUCAUGUAAUUUCGGAGUCAUUUAGCAGAUUCUACAACAUAGAUAUGAAAAAGUAAACGCAGAAGAAAUAAAAAUGGAAACACGUGACACAAGUAGAUAUAGAAAGAUUUUAGCCAUGGCAGUCUUAUACAUAUCAUGAAACCUAACGCACUCAGUAGUUCUAACAAAAUGAUUACUGAAACUUAUUCUAAUGCGAAAAAAAAAGAACGACGAGAGGAUGCUUACUUUUCUUGGCCCUUGUGACCGAAGAAAAUCAACUCGCAAAAAGCUACCACCUAGUCGCUUCCCGUUCAUGGUCUUUGCCUGUACAGCAUCGUCCACGUCAAAAUAGUCAAUAAAAGCCGUCUUGCGAUCCUUAAGAAACCUGAAACUUUCGAUUUCCCCAAACUUCCUGAACUCUGCCUCGAGUACAUCCUUCGGGACACUCGAGCUGAUUCCACCCACCCAAAGACUCUUACAAGGUUUUGCCUGCACACAAAUAAUUUCCAUAAGAAGCCAAUAAAAUACAUCUUUAACAACAUCCAGAAUUGGCUUUCCUGGUUGUCAUGAAGAGAACCCUUUUAAACACAUAAAUCACUACAAAACAAAAUCAGUUACUAAUUCAAAGAUUGUAAUAAAAUUUCACAUUUAAUGGCUACCAUAAUAAACACACAGCAUGACUUGAGGAGAAUCAUUUCCAUAAAUAGAAGAGAACUAUGUCCUCUCCAAAGUCAACAAAAAAACAAAAAAUCCUCGUGCUGAUCAUAUUUCAAAUUUGGGCACAUUACUAAAAUAAACCAACCCCUUGGACCCACUAAGAUGAGCAGAAAGCAAAAGAUGCUGGCAAGUCUACGAUAACAAAUAAAAAAACUCCCACCAUGUUGGUAGCGUUACUGUUACAUCUCUGAUGGCUAGAGGAACUAGAAACAUUUUGCACAAUCUGAAAACUCUGGGAUUCACCAAGUCUAAUCCGAAGGAUUAAGAUACUAAUUACGUUUCAGAAACUUGAACGCAUUUAAAGUUCAUAAUCAAUCUUUAUGAGAUUAAGCAUUAUAGCAAAACUGUUGUCCGGAACAAAUCACAUACAGUAAGUGGAGUCGAAGCAAUCAUUUGUGGGAACAAAUCAAGCAUACGUGGCAAUCAUGAUCUGUGAAAUUCCCGAUCUAACCAUCAACAAGAGACUACCAGAGAUGAGAACGAACCGGUCGUGCGAAUUCGAUCUUAAUGCGACUCCCGUUCAGAUUGGCGCCUUGAAGAGCCUCCUUGGCCGCAACGGCUUCCUCAACGCGCCUGUAGUAGAUAAAGGCGAAGCAGCGGGAAGAAUACGCGGUGAGCCUGUCGAUUUCGCCGAACCUUCCGAACAGAUCGGCGAGAUCGGAUUCGGUAGUAUCGGGGGUCAGACUGCCGACCCAGAGAUUGGUGGAUUGGAAUCCAGAUCCGUCUGGUUCACGGCCUCUUGAAGGCUUCAUUACUGGUGCCAUCGCCGGUUUUUGAGCACGAGACGGGAAGAAGCUUUUUACACGCGAAGGUCCAGUGAGGAAACAAGCGUUGGAAGGUUGAAGAACAUGAAUAUGAAACGACAGCGUUUUGAGGGAAUCUAAUUACGUUUAAAUUAAGUUCAUUCUUGGCUUCUAUCAAUUAUUAAUCAACAUAUUCCAUUUAUUUAGGCUUAGUAUUCAUUUGAAAUAAAUCAAAACCAUAUAGAAAAUUAAUGUGAAUGCUUCUUGUUACUAACCAAGCAUUAGGCAAAAUACAAAUCCAGAAAAGAGAAGAGUCUUGAUUCAAAAACUAAAAUCUCCAAAUAAAAAAGGUAUCUUAAAACUUCAACAUAGGUCGGUCGUACUGACAUAUGUCCCGUCCCAGAUGUUCAAAGGUCUUGAACACUCAAACCUGAAACGAAGAAACCUCGAUAAAUAAAUAAAAGCCCAACAACUUACAAAAAUGGAGACUAUACUAGUGAAGUUCGCUCCUGCUGUGGCUGCUGUUGUGUUGGUGGUGGCAUCGCAAUUUGAGAAUGGGAAGGAUUUUCGUUAUAAGCUUGAUUAUUUGUCAGACCGUGAUAGUUACCUUGCUGAUAACCCUGAUAACCAAGCAAACCAGGGUUCGUAGCUCCAGGGACCGAUACGUAGUUUUGGUUAAGCAUGGGAGUUUCAUGCUGAUACUGAGCUUGAUGUGAACCUUGAGAGUACAUGGAGUAAUUAUCCGAUGGUGGUGGAGGUAACGCCGCCUGGUAUUGCAUACCACCUUGUACCAUUCCACCGGAGUAGCUCGGUGUGCUUGACACUGGAGGAUAGUGCACCGGAGGAGGAGGCAGUUGCCCCACCGGAUUGUACUGAUUGCCUAAUUGUUGAAACGAUAGAUUUGAUGGGUCAGAAACCGUUGAUUGAUCUCUAUUCCAGGCUUGUGAUGGAGCUUCUCCAUUGGAUAAUCCAACGGCUUGGUGACUUUCUGCUUGAGAAUUUGUUGGGAGCAAGGAGGCAAGAGUGGCUAUUAGCUCAGGCGUUAGACUAACCCCGGCUUGAGGCGUUGCAGUGUUAUGUACAGCAACAGGCUUCAUUGGUUCCUGUAUACCCCAGGCUUGAUCUUCCCUAGCAGCGUACAAACCGUGAUUGGCACUGGCAGGCGAAUCUCGAGACUGAUCCAUAUAGUGUGGAGGAACGGUAUGAGAUUCUUGUCUAUACGAUAAAGCUGCAGGAACCGGUGGUGGUGGCAAUUUGAGAACAACACCGUAUAGCCUCUCUCGACCGGAUACUUUGAGCACAUCAGUUAAGAAAUCUGAUGGUGGAACCAAGAAUAAAGUGGUUCCAUCAUCUAAUUUGGCAACACCUGCUCUAUUCUUUGAACCAAGAUAUUGGAGAAAUUCAGUAUAAGACGCGAAGUCGUCUUCGCUGUCUGGUAAGAAGAAAACGAUUUCAAAUCCAAUUGCUUCCGUAUAGUGUUUGGCAAGCAUAUCCAAACCCGUUCGUGCUGAACAAUUGACCAUCUCAGGGCUAUUAACCAAUUCCAAAAACCGAUAAUCAGUAAUCCAUUCGGUACUUGUUAUCAAUGAAUCGAAUCAAACACUAUGCAAAAUCCAUUUUCAGAUCACAACAUCUAAAAGAAUCAACAGAUAAGAUAACUUCUAAUCUAUGAACUAAAACUUAUCCUACAUAAGUGAAGGCAAAAAAAAAGGCUAAAGUGCAUGAAAAUGUUACUCACAGUUCAGAUUCAAUCCCCUUUCCAAUAGGUACACAACGAGCAUGACAAACAGGAGUUCCACCUUUGGCUAUGACUCCUCUCCAAAUGAAAUCAGUAUCAGGGAAACCACGGCCUGGUCUACGUCGAUAUGUCCUAUCCAACCCAGUGAUACGAUCAUCUACACCCAUCGGAGGAAAAGCAUCUACAGAUCCAUCUCUACGAGUUCUUUUAGGUUCUCUAUCCAACUGAGCAGGAUCAUAUCCUUCCCAAGAACCACGGUUUGACCGAAUGGGUAACCUUCUACUUGGUGCGGGAGACGGGAGUAUUCCAGCUCCACUAGGAG